GUACAAACGUGGGCUCACUAGUUUUGUUUGUAAGAUAAGUAAUCCAUCAGAGUCAUGGGAUUUAGUUUCCCAUCGUGAGGGAAAGGGCUAUCGAUCUUGUGAUCUAACGAGAAAGCUUACCUGUAUUUAUUCAGUUUACAGGCAGGAUGUUAAAAGCAGGGCAGCAAAAUGACCAAGACAACCCAGCAGGGUGAAAGCCUUCUUCUGGAGGGAAUAGUCACUGGACCUGACCACAACUCCUACAGUACGGGGCAUGGUGGAAAACAUUUUUGUUGAAAUCACUCCUGAGAAAUAUUCAUAAGGAACAGGAGAUGUUGGAAUGAAUUAUUAAUUUUCAAAGUCUCUUUAGUGCACAGUACAAAGUUAAUAAUUUUGUAAAAGUUCUCCCCUUCACACCGUAUCAAAUCAGAUCCUUUGAAUUAACGACAUGAUACAGAAUCCCAUCUCUUCCCUAACAGUUGCAGGGGAGGGGAACUCUCCAUCUCUUUUCCCGUUGAUUUGACAAACAUUUAUUGAGUACUUACUAUGUGCCAUACAGAGUACUAGGCUCUGGGGAUAUAACAGUGAACAAGAAAUUUAAAAACGGGUACUUCAGGAAGACGAUGGAAAUGGCAGCUCCCUAGGAUGUGACUUCUGAAAGUUAGGCUGUCAUUCUCACUUUCUCCUUUGGGACCUGGGAAGUCUCAUCUUGGCGGGGGGCAGAGUCAUGACGACCGGCCCUAUUUGCCAUCCCAGAGGGACUUCCUCUUUCUCUCCUAAGACAGGACAAUGAGUACAGAGAACCCAGACCCUCAGGUCUCCCCUCCCAAAGUGGUCUCAAACCCCUAUAGCAGGAGGCAUUCAGCCUUAAACACCCCACCCCGAGUCUCAGCCACCUCAAGGGUCCUAGAGCUACACUGAGCAGAGCCUCCCCUGGUCCAGGGGCUGGGCUCACCAUCUAUGGAUGGUCAACCUUGUGGCAACAAGCUCAGAAUAGAACUGAGGUCACUUAAAGAAAAGUCAGAGAAUCAAACCCAGAAUCCUCUUGGUUCCCAAGUAAGACAGCACUACCCUCGGGGUCAUAGUCACAUCCCCUGUGGCUCAGGGUGGAGAGAGGGAUGGAGGACGCAGGCUUGCUGGGCCAAGGCUGUAGCUAGGAGACAAAGAGUGGGCUGCUGAUGCCUGCUUUCAAGUGGGGGUGAUUUCUGUGGCGGUGACAGUGGUGGCGAUGUUGGUGAUGGCCGUAGUGGGGAUGGCGGUGAUGAUGGUGAAUGAAGGUGGUGACAGUGACGAUGAUCACGGUGUGAUGCUGAUGGUGACAGAGAAGGGGACGUGAUGAUUAUGAUGACGACCGUGGUGACGAUGGUGAUGGCGGUGAUGGUGACAGUGGUGUUGGCAAUGAUGCUGUGAGUGCCACCUCAAUGUAGAUUCUUUACUGCCGUCUCAGAUUCAUUUUGUAACAUAAGAAGACUUGGCGUUUUUUAAGCCUGAGCUCGGGAAUGUCAUUCAUUUACAUUAUACAGUAAUAAGAAAACAGCAGACCAGUGCAGCUCAAUCUUAUUGGCAAAAUGGAGAAAGGACUAAAUUAAAUUGUACUCAAUGGCAGUGAAAUUUGGAGCAUUUAGUGAUUUCUCUGCUUUAGGACUGAGGCAGAAACUGGCACUGUCGCAUACAACCUGUGUGGAUUUGGACAAGUGUCUUCACCUCUCUGAGCUCCGUUCAUCUUGAAGUCAGAGGGGGAAUCCCUGGAGGUGUGAUCAGGGGAUCUGACCAACAUUUAAAAAUAGGAAUACAGGAGAAUAAAAACCAUCAUGCAGUACAGGGUGGUAUUUGAUG
rnacentral:lncRNA from 1 species